CAACAGUUGAAAAGGGUACCAAAAUUUUUCAAAACAAUAAAGAAUGAGGCUGAUAAACAUACUAGCUAUGAGCAAGAUCAAAAUACACAGCUCCAUCCAACCCAUUUGCACCUUCAGGAUAAGUUCCUUUAGUGGCUUGAAUUCGACGAGAAACAAAAGGCAAAAGCUUUGAAAGUUAAUAUAAAACAAUAUUCAUUAAUUUACAACAUACCUCACAAUCACCAGAAGGAGGCACAAACGUGCGAACACGCGACCACUGGACAAGAAAACCUCCAUGCCUGGUUUUUUGACCCAUUUUCCCAGUUCUUGUACCCUUGUAAUACUGAUGACCCAACUUUGUGGUCAUUGGCAAGCGUCUUGCUCCAAAACAUAAUAAUGAUUGAUGCAUUUUGAAUAACUCUCGAUUUGGGUAAAUGGAGGGUUUAAGUUGGCGCGUUUUCCGUCAUAAAAGAAAAGGUAACGGUAUAAGGUAACAGUCAAAGCGAAACAUAGAAUGUAAACAAUAAAAAUAUUUGUUUAAAACGAACAAA